CGGAAGCAAAUCGCUCCUGUAUGUUGCCAUGCGCCACUGAGCAGGCUCCGUCCGGUUGAGGAGUAAUAAUAAACAUUCCUGGGGAUUUUACCAUAUCGACUCGUCCUUCUGAUUACGCGGUAACGCUACGGUAUUAAACAAUUAAGCCCAAAUGGCAAGUUCUAUUUUAUACUAAUGUAGCCCUGUGCUAUAUUUUCCUUUAAUUUUCUUUAAGUUAAAAGGUGUUAAUAAAUGUUUAAUGAUUUUGCUUGCAUUAUGCAGAAUGUUUUAUUUUCCUAUGGCCUGUAUUUUAUUUUCAUUUGAGUAUGUACGUUUUGGUUGUUUUCUUAAUGUGACCUUUGAACCGGAGGGUUAAAAGGUUGGAAGCUCGGCAGCUAAAGGAAGUGUGAACCAGGAAGAGUACGGACGGCUAGUGCGAGCUCGUGAACUAUUUAUACCGGCUUAGAUCUAUGCAUGCAAUAAUACUCUGUCUAGGAUAUAGACUAGAGGUAUACUGUUUAGGUUGUCGGAUAGAUAACCACCAGAUCAGGGAUCGUGUGUAUUGAUGUUCUUCUGAGGUAUACAGGAGAUGCUGAACCUGCAUCCAGACGUGGACGCGGCGAAGCCUGAGUGCGGUUAAGUGGGAUGUGUGCCCAAAUAAGGAUCUUGCCGGUCGUUUGGAUAAGACGCCAGCAUAAGGAUCUUGCCGGUCGUUUUGGAUAAAACGCCAGCGUGGACCAAUCGGCACGAGGACCGCGACUUUCCGCUCGCUUCCACACGCACGCACACACACUCCGCCAAGUGAGGUGAAAGGUACAUUUGAUUGUUUGUUGUUUGCUCCUGUGAGUGAAGCGGCCGUUCUGUUUUUGGCCUCCACAUACCCAAGCGACGACACAGGCCUGCAACGUGGGGAUAAAUAGUUCGUGCCGGCAUAGGACUGCAUUUUGCUUUCAAUAUUUCCAAAAUGCAUGUGAUUUCAUGUGUCAAUUGAUUUACCUGUCUUCUUGUGUGAAUUGAUUUACCUGUGGGUCGAUGCACUGAAUGCUUCUUGUUAACGUGUUAAUUCAAUGAAACCAUCUUUCAUAGUAACUUAUGUGUGUUUUUAUUGUCAUUACCAUGCAGUGAUUCCUAUACAUUAGGGGUUUAGUUCUACAAGACACUACAACACAACUAAACAUAAAAUCGGGUAGAUUACCACAUAUAGCGUGUGGUCAGUUUAGUGUGGACUUGGGAGCGUCCCAAUUAACUUUUGGGUUAAUUAGAAUAUCAUGUUCAUAGCCAUGGCAUCGGGGCGCUACACUAAGAAAACCAAAAAGUUCUCCGAACCCCAGAAGCCCACAGAACAGAGACAUAGGUCUGAGACAAGUGACUCUGAAGAGGAGCAGUGUGAUACUUCACACAAAUGCAGAGGAGCUUCUUCACUGAUACAUCAGUGCUCUCAUCCAGGUAAAGAGAAUAUGGAG
ensembl:lncRNA